AUUGAACGCUGGCGGCAGGCCUAACACAUGCAAGUCGAGCGAGCGGCGGACGGGUGAGUAAUGCCUAGGAAUCUGCCUGGUAGUGGGGGAGAACUAUUGGAAACGAAAGCUAAUACCGCUAACAGUGAGAUGGACCUGCGUUGUAUUAGCUUGUUGGUGGGGUAACGGCUCACCAAGGCGACGUGCCCUAGCUGGUCUGAGAGGAUGACCAGCCACACUGUAACUGAGCCACGGUCCAGACUCCUACGGGAGGCAGCAGUGGGGAAUAUUGCACAAUGGGCGCAAGCCUGAUGCAGCCAUGCCGCGUGUAUGAAGAAGGCCUUCGGGUUGUAAAGUACUUUCAGCGGGGAGGCGUUACCCGCAGAAGAAGCACCGGCUAACUCCGUGCCAGCAGCCGCGGUAAUUC
rnacentral:rRNA from 1 species